rnacentral:rRNA from 1 species
GACGAACGCUGGCGGCGUGCUUAACACAUGCAAGUCGAACGGUGAAGCGCCUUCCUUUUUGGUGGGUGUGGAUGAGUGGCGAACGGGUGAGUAACACGUGAGUAACCUGCCCCCUUCUUCUGGAUAACCGCAUGAAAGUGUGGCUAAUACGGGAUAUUCUGGGUCUGUCGCAUGAUGGGUCUGGGAAAGAUAUUGUUUCGGUGGGGGAUGGGCUCGCGGCCUAUCAGCUUGUUGGUGGGGUGAUGGCCUACCAAGGCGGUGACGGGUAGCCGGCCUGAGAGGGUGGACGGCCACACUGGGACUGAGACACGGCCCAGACUCCGACGGGAGGCAGCAGGGGGGAAUAGUGCACAAUGGGCGCAAGCCUGAUGCAGCGACGCCGCGUGAGGGAUGGAGGCCUUCGGGUUGUGAACCUCUUUCGCCAGUGAAGCAGGCCUGCCUCGUUUGUGGGUGGGUUGACGGUAGCUGGAGAAGAAGCGCCGGCUAACUACGUG